GACAAACAAUAGCAGCACACGAUUCGUUGUUGGUGUCGCGCCAUGUUUAUCUAUUAUUGUUGUUACACAAGUAAUAAACAGCGUUGUUUAUUACCGACAUGUAUAGUAAAAAAUUAUAUUCUCAAAACUCGCAUUUUCUGUAUUUUGGAUUAGAAAUACGCCUGUAACACGUAAAUAUACUGGGGUUACCUUUACUAUAAUGCAAUUGCACACGAACUCAGCGAGAACCCUGUAGCAAGUGUACCUAUGAUAGAUAUACUUUUUGUUUAUUCUAUUGCAUGUAUGUACACAAUAUAUUAAAUAAUUACCUAUGAAACCAUUUUCGAGUUCAAGAAAUAUAAAUUUAUUAAUUGAAGUUGUUAGGGUUUGUACUUCAAAUCAAUUAAUAAUAAAAGCGUUUAUGUUUUAAUCACACAUUAUAUUUUAUUAUUUUUUAUGUAAGUAUAUAGUUCAAAAGCGAAAAAAAUAUUUUACUUACGUGUUUACAGUUUUUUUUCAUAGUUGAGCUCUUAAUAACAAAAAAUGAAAGUCAUACUUAUAUUAUAUUUUAUAAUGAAAGACCAAAUGACCUAUUGAUUGAAAAAAUGUGAAUUGAUAAGAUUUAUACAAUAGAAACUUGUAUAUAAUUGAGUUUUCAACAGAAAAUAUCCUACAGAAAAAAGAUUUAAAAAAUUGCUUAGCUACGCCAUCUACUAUCCUAAAGUAAGUAUAGGCAUUGCCAUCUCUUCGAGUUUUCGUAAUUCCGUGAACCACGCGGCAAACGGAAGCGAAGCUCUCGGCCAUUUCUACGUUGUCCCGAGUGAAGACAGGAGUGUUGGUCGUUUUAUUGUUGAAACAAUACUACGACCAUGGUGAACGGACGAAUUCCGUCAGUCUUUUCAAAGACUUAUGUCACGCCUAGAAGGCCCUAUGAGAAGGCACGUUUAGAUCAGGAGUUACGUAUUAUUGGUGAAUACGGUCUCCGUAACAAGCGUGAGGUAUGGAGAGUCAAGUACACCCUUGCCAAGAUCCGUAAAGCUGCUCGAGAGCUUCUUACAUUGGAAGAGAAGGACCCCAAACGUCUUUUUGAAGGUAAUGCUUUGUUGAGACGAUUGGUCAGGAUUGGAGUGCUCGAUGAGGGACGCAUGAAGCUUGAUUACGUUUUGGGUUUGAAAAUUGAAGAUUUCUUGGAAAGACGUCUGCAAACCCAAGUUUUCAAGCUUGGAUUGGCCAAGUCCAUCCAUCACGCACGUGUGCUCAUCCGUCAAAGACACAUCCGUCAUAUCCCCGAUUGACGGCUCGGAUGCUCCCACAGAGGAAGCGACGAGAUUUAACGACUUUACAUCUUGAAUCGAUGUUUGAUCAAACUAAUUAUUUCAUACAGACCACUUGAGUGUUCGAACUUUGUUUGGCACUUAACGUCUGCCAAAAAAGCAUUGGGUUACGAAACCAUGCUAAUAUUGCGUUCGCAAACAGGUUGUGAACAUUCCAUCCUUCAUUGUCCGAUUGGACUCCCAGAAGCACAUCGACUUUUCUGUCAAGUCGCCCUUCGGUGGUGGUCGUCCUGGCCGUGUAAAGAGGAAGAACCUCCGCAAGGGAACUGGCGCAGCUGCUGCUGAAGAAGAAGAAGAUUAAAUUACACGUUAAUCUUCAGGACGAUCCUGAAUAAAAAAAAAAUAAAA